AUUGAACGCUGGCGGCAUGCUUUACACAUGCAAGUCGAACGGCAGCGCGGGCUUCGGCCUGGCGGCGAGUGGCGAACGGGUGAGUAAUACAUCGGAACGUGCCCAGUAGUGGGGGAUAGCUCGGCGAAAGCCGGAUUAAUACCGCAUACGACCUGAGGGUGAAAGCGGGGGAUCUUCGGACCUAGCGCUAUUGGAGCGGCCGAUGGCAGAUUAGCUAGUUGGUGGGGUAAAGGCCUACCAAGGCGACGAUCUGUAGCUGGUCUGAGAGGACGACCAGCCACACUGGGACUGAGACACGGCCCAGACUCCUACGGGAGGCAGCAGUGGGGAAUUUUGGACAACGGGCGAAAGCCUGAUCCAGCAAUGCCGCGUGUGUGAUGAAGGCCUUCGGGUUGUAAAGCACUUUUGGCGGGAACGAAAAGGACUGUGCCAAUACCACGGUUCGAUGACGGUACCCGCAGAAUAAGCACCGGCUAACUACGUG
rnacentral:rRNA from 1 species